CAGCUAUGAGGACACCAGUGCAAUAGGGGGGAAAAUUAAAGUGACUGGCAUCAGGGUAAGUGCCAGGAGACAGCUUUCUCCUGGACAAAACCUCAGAGGCCAGGCAGCAGCACUGUCCCCUCUCUGAGCCCAACCCCACACAGAGCCACAGAACAGCCACAUA